rnacentral:rRNA from 1 species
GACGAACGUUGGCGGCGUGCUUAAUACAUGCAAGUCAACUGAAGCAGUGGUAGCAAUAUCGCUGUGGAGGUGGCGCACGGGUGAGUAACACGUAGGUAAUCUGCCUUCAGGUCUGGCAUAACUCCGGGAAACCGGGGCUAAUAGCGGAGGAUGCAGCGGCUCGACAUCGAGACAGUUGUUAAAGCUAUGGCGCCUGAAGAUGAGCCUGCGUCUGAUUAGCUAGUUGGCGGGGUAACGACCCACCAAGGCAACGAUCAGUAGCUGGUCUGAGAGGAUGAUCAGGCACACUGGAACGGAGACGCGGUCCAGACUACUACGGGAGGCAGCAGUAAGGAAUAUUGGUCAAUGGGAGAAAUCCUAAAGCAGCAACGCCGCGUGAGGGACGAAGGGCUUUUGCUUGUAAACCUCUGUAGUGAGAGAAAAAAAUCCCAAUCUGUGGGACAUGAUGGUAUCUCAAAAGUAAGCCCCGGCUAACUACGUG